CCUACGGUGUGCAGCAGUGAUUAAUAUUUUUCCCUUUUCUCUCUCCUUCCCCAGCCAAUUAUCGUGAAGGAUGACUGCCCUAUGGGUUGUAAACUUCUUUUAUAUGGGAAUAAAGUGCAGUAUGUAUACUGCUUUGCAUGUACCUUAUGAAUAAGGAUCGGCUAACUCCGUGCCAGCAGCCGCGGUAAUACGGAGGAUCCGAGCGUUAUCCGGUUUUAUUGGGUUUAAAGGGAGCGUAGGCGGGUUGUUAAGUCAGUUGUGAAAGUUUGCGGCUCAACCGUAAAAUUGCAGUUGAUACUGGCAUCCUUGAGUACAGUAGAGGUAGGCGGAAUUCGUGGUGUAGCGGUGAAAUGCUUAGAUAUCACGAAGAACUCCAUUGCGAAGGCAGCCUGCUGGACUGUAACUGACGCUGAUGCUCGAAAGUGUGGGUAUCAAACAGGAUUAGAUACCCCUGUAGUC
rnacentral:rRNA from 1 species